UCGACAUUUCGAACGCACUUUGCGGUCCUCGGAUACUGUUCCCGGACCACUCCUGGCUGACGGUCG
rnacentral:rRNA from 1 species